AAAAACACUCGAGGGGAUCGCACUGUCGAGGUGCGAUUGUCGACGAUGCGAUUCCGGACUCGCAGGCSGC
rnacentral:misc_RNA from 1 species